rnacentral:miRNA from 1 species
AUAGACAUUUAUUUUCUUCUGCUUCUAAAGGUUGGAAGUCCAAGAUGAAGGUGCUGGCAAAUUCAGUUUGUUGAGGGGCCAUUUCCUGCUUUGCAGAUGACAGGAUUCUUUCUUGUUGUAUCCUCACCCAG